rnacentral:rRNA from 1 species
CCUACGGGAGGCAGCAGUGGGGAAUAUUGCACAAUGGGCGCAAGCCUGAUGCAGCCAUGCCGCGUGUGUGAAGAAGGCCUUCGGGUUGUAAAGCACUUUCAGCGGGGAGGAAGGCGUUAAGGUUAAUAACCUUGGCGAUUGACGUUACCCGCAGAAGAAGCACCGGCUAACUCCGUGCCAGCAGCCGCGGUAAUACGGAGGGUGCAAGCGUUAAUCGGAAUUACUGGGCGUAAAGCGCACGCAGGCGGUCUGUCAAGUCGGAUGUGAAAUCCCCGGGCUCAACCUGGGAACUGCAUUCGAAACUGGCAGGCUAGAGUCUUGUAGAGGGGGGUAGAAUUCCAGGUGUAGCGGUGAAAUGCGUAGAGAUCUGGAGGAAUACCGGUGGCGAAGGUGGCCCCCUGGACAAAGACUGACGCUCAGGUGCGAAAGCGUGGGGAGCAAACAGGAUUAGAUACCCCUGUAGUC